UCGGGAAUUUUGGGCAAUGGGCGAAAGCCUGACCCAGCAACGCCGCGUGAAGGAUGAAGUAUUUCGGUAUGUAAACUUCGAAAGAAUAGGAAGAAUAAAUGACGGUACUAUUUAUAAGGUCCGGCUAACUACGUGCCAGCAGCCGCGGUAAUACGUAGGGACCAAGCGUUGUUCGGAUUUACUGGGCGUAAAGGGCGCGUAGGCGGCCUUAUAAGUCUCGUGUGAAAGCCCUCGGCUUAACUGAGGAUCUGCACGGGAUACUGUAGGGCUCGAGUUCGGGAGAGGAAAGCGGAAUUCCGGGUGUAGCGGUGAAAUGCGUAGAUAUCCGGAGGAACACCAGUGGCGAAGGCGGCUUUCUGGACCGACACUGACGCUGAGGCGCGAAAGCUAGGGGAGCAAACGGGAUUAGAUACCCAGGUAGUCCCUGAGCGGGCUGGCAAGGCGCAU
rnacentral:rRNA from 1 species